UACGGAGGGUGCAAGCGUUGUCCGGAAUCACUGGGCGUAAAGGGCGCGUAGGCGGCCCGGUAAGUAGGGGGUGAAAUCCUGCGGCUUAACCGCAGGGCUGCCUUCUAAACUGUCGGGCUCGAGCACGGUAGAGGCAGAUGGAAUUCCCGGUGUAGCGGUGGAAUGCGUAGAGAUCGGGAAGAACAUCAGUGGCGAAGGCGGUCUGCUGGGCCGUUGCUGACGCUGAGGCGCGACAGCGUGGGGAGCAAACAGG
rnacentral:rRNA from 1 species